GGGAUGGCAUCCCGCCCGUGCUGAGUGCAGCACCUCUAAGAAGGAAGUCUGGUGGUCAAAGCGGACUCGUGUGCAAACUAGAUUCAACCAGACCUUGUUGAGUGUGGACGCUCGCUGCAGGCCUGUGACCUCUGCACUAAUCCCCGGAUAGCGUCACGCUGCUCGUCUCCCGCUGAGCCGAGACUUCCUCCACGAAGACCUGGCAGCGUCUGGAUGGACGCACCAAGAGGCUGAGAAGAGCGAA
rnacentral:lncRNA from 1 species